GGCCAUGAUAGAUACAAUACGGUAGCGCAACUUAUGAAAAAGGCCUUUCAGCCAUCUUGGAAUUUGUAUGUAAACAAUCUGCAAUAUUUUGCAAUAUCUUUUUUUUGCUCUUUGUGUGUGGAAUUGUAUUGGUGGGAAUAAGAGCAUUGAAUAGUUGAAAGCUCAAGAGAAUAAAUCGACUCUCAGUGUCGGUUGGUGAUGGAGAUAUUUUACCCGCGUUUUGCAGCUAGAGACGUCGGUUAAUCGUUCGAUUAAUUCAAAUAAUCGAAUAUCUGUAACAGUAAUUUUAUACCAAAUAAUGAAAAAUCAAGAAAAUACAGUGCAAAAUUUGUUUAAUCGUCAUGGUGUUUCGUCGAAAUUCAUAGAAUAUGCUAAAUCAUUUACGGUAGAAGCUUGAUUCCUAGGUGGUGGAGGAGACUGGGAAGAAGAAUUCAGGGUCUGCAGGAGUAAAAUGUGGACUUGAAGAAGGUGGUCUCAGCUCCCGUUCUAAAAUAGUAGUGUUCAAAUUCAGAGCGCCGAGGAAAAAAUACCAUACUAGUGAUCAAUGAUUCUAUGACCAAGCAGAGAUAUUCAAACAAAUCAGCUAUUUCAACAAACAACAUUCGAAGAACAGAUAAUUUUGAACAGCCAAAAUUUUGGUUGGUGCAAAUAAAUUGCAUUUCGGACUCGACUAAUAUCGACAGACUCGAUAAUAUGUGAUUCGAUUAUAUACAAUUUUGAACUUGAUUAUAUACAGUUUGGAAAAAAAUAUUUUUUUUUUAUAUUUUAAGUAUGACUUAUUUCAAGAAGGAAGGUAACCUUUUAACGAUAAGGUGAAAUUUAAGUGGCUAUUACAUGUAAGGUGGGGUGAAAAUCGUCAUUUUUGAAGAUUUUGCUUGAGUUUUCACCAGUUAUAUCGUUAUAUAGUUAUUGCAGCCAAAUUAAAAAAGCCGAAGUUGGGUGUCAAAAACCAAAUUUUAGAGAGCUUUAAUUUAAUUGAUAGAAAUGAUCUAGUUCAAUAUAAAUUUUCAGGAUAAAAUUAAUAAUAACACACUAAAUAUUAUUAACUUUCAAGUUUUCCACUUCCAAAAUGUUAAAAUCCACUAAUUUAGAUGUUCCACUACUAUAUCCUGUACAAAAUUUCUCA